rnacentral:rRNA from 1 species
ACUACGGGAGGCAGCAGUGGGGGAUAUUGCACAAUGGGGGGAACCCUGAUGCAGCGACGCCGCGUGGGUGAAGAAGCGCCUCGGCGCGUAAAGCCCUGUCAGCAGGGAAGAAAAUGACGGUACCUGAAGAAGAAGCCCCGGCUAACUACGUGCCAGCAGCCGCGGUAAUACGAAGGGGGCAAGCGUUAUCCGGCUUUACUGGGUGUAAAGGGGGCGCAGACGGCGAUGCAAGCCAGGAGUGAAAGCCCGGGGCCCAACCCCGGGACUGCUCUUGGAACUGCGUGGCUGGAGUGCAGGAGGGGCAGGCGGCAUUCCUGGUGUAGCGGUGAAAUGCGUAGAUAUCAGGAGGAACACCGGUGGCGAAGGCGGCCUGCUGGACUGCAACUGACGUUGAGGCCCGAAAGCGUGGGGAGCAAACAGGAUUAGAUACCCCUGUAGUC